ensembl:lncRNA
CAGGGAAACAUGGCACAAAUGGUGUGGUAAAAGGGCAAGUCAAAAGAAGCAGUCUGAUCUAAGCAUGAAUUCUUCCGUUUCCAGCCCCAGGGGUGCCCUGUACAUCACUGUACAGCUUCUCUGGAUGUUGCAUAAAAGGGACCUUGGAUCUGGCCCUCUCUCUGUCUGUGCCAUACAAUCUCCCCUCUGAGCUGCUCAGGCAGGUUUUCAAAACCAUGAUUUUUUUGCAGGAGGUUCUGAGUUAUGCUGUCGUCUACCUGGGAGUGCUUAAGUUUCUUCCUCUGCAAGAUGAUGUGGCCAAGCCCAUUAGAUUUGGUGGAGACCCUGAAGAUUUU